GCAGAAGAUUGCAACCUCCCAUUAUGAAACAGCAUCAUAAAAUGCAGAGCACAGCUACCCUGACUAAAACCACCUUUCUCCUCUGCUGAUACAGACAAACUAGCAGUAAAUGCUUUUUGAGCUCCCGGCGUGCAGAUAAAUUCCUACGGACAUCCCCAAUUGGACUGAAAGAUUGAGACACACAAGGGAGAGAAUAGCUGAGGCCAGGAGAAUUUAACAUGGCAAUUAGCAACCCUUCAACUUUGCCAGACCCCACAGCACAAGACAGGAUGGAGGUAACCAAAAAUCUCUCCAGAAGAGUAGUUGAUAAAUUGAUUGGGUCCCAGGGGUUGCUGGACACAGUUAUUAUCCAAUUGCAGGCCUGGAUGGUGUGCAAGUCUAUGUAGUGAAGUCAGAAAAUGAAACAGGGCUUUAAAUUCCCAAGGGGAGCUCCUUUGCUUAUGUAUCCAUUGCUGCACCCUUUCCCCUCAUUUUGGAAGACUCUGAAUCACAUCACAUAGUGUGUAUU
rnacentral:lncRNA from 1 species